rnacentral:SRP_RNA from 1 species
GCUGUGAGUGCAGUGGUGUGUGCCUGCAGUCCCAGCUAAACAGGAAGCUGAGGUAGGAGGAUCACUUGAGCCCAGAAGUUCCUGGCUGUAGUACCCUGUGCUGAUCCUUUGUCUGCCCCAAGUUUGGCAUCAAUAUGGUGGCCUCCUGGGAGUCAGGGACCACCAGGUUGCUUAAGGAGGAGUGAACCAGCCCUGGUUGGACAUGGAGCAAGUCAAAACUCCCAUGCUGAUAAAUACUGGGAUUACACUGGUGAAUAGCCAAUGCACUACAGCCUGGGCAACAUAGAAAGACCCCUGUCUCU